rnacentral:rRNA from 1 species
UAAGGCCCUUCGGGGUACACGAGUGGCGAACGGGUGAAGUAACGCGUGAGUAACCUGCCCCUUGACUCUGGGAUAACAGACGGAAAACGUCCGCUAAUACCGGAUACUCAGACCUUCAGGCAUCUGGUGGUUUGGAAAAGCUCCGGCGGUCAAGGAUCGGACUCGCGUCCUAUCAGCUUGUUGGUGGGGUAAUGGUCCCCACCAAGGCGACGACGGGUAAGCCGGCCUAGAGAGGGCGACCGGCCACAUUGGGACUGAGAUACGGCCCAAACUCCUACGGGAGGCAGCAGUGGGAAUAUUGCACAAUGGGCGCAAGCCUGAUGCAGCAACGCCGCGUGCGGGAAGAACGGCCUUCGGGUUGUAAACCGCUUUUCAGCAGGGACGAAGUGAAAAAUGACGGUACCUGCAGAAGAAGCACCGGCUAACUACGUGCCAGCAGCCGCGGUGAUAC